rnacentral:rRNA from 1 species
AUUGAACGCUGGCGGCAGGCCUAACACAUGCAAGUCGAGCGGAACGGCGGACGGGUGAGUAAUGCCUAGGAAUCUGCGUGGUAGUGGGGGAUAACGUCCGGAAACGGGCGCUAAUACCGCAAACUAUGAGAUGAGCCUAGGUCGGAUUAGCUAGUGUGUGGGGUAAAGGCAUACCAAGGCGACGAUCCGUAACUGGUCUGAGAGGAAGAUCAGUCACACUGGAACUGAGACACGGUCCAGACUCCUACGGGAGGCAGCAGUGGGGAAUAUUGGACAAUGGGCGAAAGCCUGAUCCAGCCAUGCCGCGUGUGUUAAGAAGGUCUUCGGAUUGUAAAGCACUUUAAGUUGGGAGGCGUUACCAACAGAAUAAGCACCGGCUAACUUCGUGCCAGCAGCGGCGGUAAUAC